GACAGAGGUGCCGAGCGUUAGGCGGAAUUACUGGGCUUAAAGCGUGUGUAGGCGGGCGGGCAAGUACCUUGUGAAAUCCCACGGCUCAACCGUGGAACGGCUGGGUAUACUGCCUGUCUUGAGCCAACUAGGGGCGAGCGGAACAGACGGUGGAGCGGUGAAAUGCGUAGAUAUCGUCUGGAACGCCAAAGGUGAAAACAGCUCGCUGGGGUUGUGCUGACGCUGAGACACGAAAGCCAGGGGAGCGAACGGG
rnacentral:rRNA from 1 species